rnacentral:pre_miRNA from 1 species
GGGGGGAGGCCAGAUCCUGGGCUGUGUCCCGGCGCCCAGUGCUCCUGCGCUGUUGGAUUCGUGCCCGGCGCACAGCCCCCU